CUGUAGGAUGCGCAUGCGCAGAGCUUUUCUCGCGGUUCCCGCAGUCGUUCUAGGCCAGAGUCGGCAUUUGUUGGUGACGUCACUAACGCGCGCCAGAGUCAGGCCGCAGAGGCCGGCGCCUGGGGAGAUAUGAAUUGGCCAGUACUCAGCUGAUUCCUACAGACUUGGCAAGAACUGGGACCUGGCUUACCAGCGUCACAGCAGGAUCAUCCAUUUGAGACCUCAAAAUGAUCACUGUUCUUGGCAUCAUAAUCUUGGAAUGGAAUCCCAGAAAGGAAAUUUGGGCACAGAACAAGCUGCAAUACUGUUCUCAGUGCCCUAAAACAUACUCGAGGGCAUCACAAAGGACACAGAGAGAAUGUGACAUAUGUCUAAGGGCCUUCCUGAUGCACGUUGCCCUACGCCCAGUUUCGGAACUGGCACAGCCUGACAUGGCACCCAGCGCUUCAGCUUUGGUGUGGAGCGUACCCCUGGCACCGGGUUCCUCCCAGCACUGAUCUCCAUCAUCAGUGCCGAAAAAGAAAAAAAAGAAGUCUGCACCAAGCAAGUCCGACCAAGGGGCUCUGGGCACCUACAGUGGAAUUGACCUGAGCAACACAUCUCGAAGAACAACAGUUAU